rnacentral:rRNA from 1 species
AGUUAACGUUGGCGGCGUGCCUAACACAUGCAAGUCGAACGCGUCCUAAGGGCAACUUUAGGAUGAGUGGCGAACGGGUGAGUAUCACGUGGGUAAUCUUCCUUCAAGUGGGGAAUAAGCUCUCGAAAGGGAGUCUAAUACCGCAUGACAUUCCGGGACACAAGUCCCGUAAUCAAAGCCGCAAGGCGCUUGAAGAUGAGCCUGCGUCCUAUUAGCUAGUUGGUGGGGUAACGGCCUACCAAGGCUCAGAUGGGUAGCCGGCCUGAGAGGGUGAACGGCCACACUGGGACUGAGACACGGCCCAGACUCCUACGGGAGGCAGCAGUGAGGAAUUUUGCGCAAUGGGGGAAACCCUGACGCAGCGACGCCGCGUGAGCGAUGAAGGCCUUCGGGUCGUAAAGCUCUGUCUAGGGGGAAGGAGGAAGGACGGUACCUCUGGAGGAAGGCCACGGCUAACUACGUG